CCUACGGUGGGCAGCAGUGAGGAAUAUUGGUCAAUGGACGAGAGUCUGAACCAGCCAAGUAGCGUGAAGGAUGAAUGUCCUAUGGGUCGUAAACCUCUUUUAUAAAGGAAUAAAACGAGGCACGCGUCCCGUUUUGCAUGUACCUUAUGAAUAAGGAUCGGCUAACUCCGUGCCAGCAGCCGCGGUAAUACGGAGGAUCCGAGCGUUAUCCGGAUUUAUUGGGUUUAAAGGGUGCGUAGGUGGGUUGUUAAGUCAGUUGUGAAAGUUCGCGGCUCAACCAUAAAAUUGCAGUUGAUACUGGCAGUCUUGAGUACGGUAGAGGUAGGCGGAAUGCGUGGUGUAGCGGUGAAAUGCAUAGAUAUCGCGAAGAACUCCGAUUGCGAAGGCAGCUUGCUA
rnacentral:rRNA from 1 species